UAUGAAGAACGUAGCGAAAUGCGAUAAGUAAUGUGAAUUGCAGAAUUCAGUGAAUCAUCGAAUCUUUGAACGCACAUUGCGCCCGCCAGUAUUCUGGCGGGCAUGCCUGUCCGAGCGUCAUUUCAACCCUCGAACCCCUCCGGGGGGUCGGCGUUGGGGACCUCGGGAGCCCCUAAGACGGGAUCCCGGCCCCGAAAUACAGUGGCGGUCUCGCCGCAGCCUCUCCUGCGCAGUAGUUUGCACAACUCGCACCGGGAGCGCGGCGCGUCCACGUCCGUAAAACACCCAACUUCUGAAAUGUUGACCUCGGAUCAGGUAGGAAUACCCGCUGAACUUAAGCAUAUCAAUAAGCGGAGGA
rnacentral:misc_RNA from 1 species